AGAGCGAACGCUGGCGGCGUGCUUAACACAUGCAAGUCGAGUGCGCAGUUUUCUGUAGCAAUACAGGAAACCGGCGCACGGCGCACGGGUGCGUAACACGUGGAUAACCUGCCCUCCAAAGGGGAAUAACCCCGCGAAAGCGAGGCUAAUACCGCAUGACAUUCCGAGAACCUCGGUUUUUGGAAUCAAAGCCCGCAAGGGCGUUGGGGGAGGGGUCCGCGGCCGAUUAGCUUGUUGGCGAGGUAAUGGCUCACCAAGGCAAUGAUCGGUA
rnacentral:rRNA from 1 species